AUGAGCCCGCGGCCUAUCAGCUUGUUGGUGGGGUGAUGGCCUACCAAGGCGACGACGGGUAGCCGGCCUGAGAGGGUGAUCGGCCACAUUGGGACUGAGAUACGGCCCAGACUCCUACGGGAGGCAGCAGUGGGGAAUAUUGCACAAUGGGCGGAAGCCUGAUGCAGCGACGCCGCGUGAGGGAUGACGGCCUUCGGGUUGUAAACCUCUUUCAGCAGGGACGAAGCGUAAGUGACGGUACCUGCAGAAGAAGCACCGGCUAACUACGUGCCAGCAGCCGCGGUAAUACGUAGGGUGCGAGCGUUGUCCGGAAUUACUGGGCGUAAAGAGCUCGUAGGCGGUUUGUCACGUCGUCUGUGAAAUCCUAGGGCUUAACCCUGGACGUGCAGGCGAUACGGGCUGACUUGAGUACUACAGGGGAGACUGGAAUUUCUGGUGUAGCGGUGGAAUGCACAGAUAUCAGGAAGAACACCGAUGGCGAAGGCAGGUCUCUGGGUAGUAACUGACGCUGAGGAGCGAAAGCAUGGGUAGCGAACAGGAUUAGAUACCCUGGUAGUCCAUGCCGUAAACGGUGGGCGCUAGGUGUGGGGUUCCUUCCACGGGCUCCGCGCCGUAGCUAACGCAUUAAGCGCCCCGCCUGGGGAGUACG
rnacentral:rRNA from 1 species